rnacentral:rRNA from 1 species
AUUGAACGCUGGCGGCAUGCCUUACACAUGCAAGUCGAACGGUAACGCGGGGCAACCUGGCGACGAGUGGCGAACGGGUGAGUAAUGUAUCGGAACGUGCCCAGUUGUGGGGGAUAACUGCUCGAAAGAGCAGCUAAUACCGCAUACGACCUGAGGGUGAAAGCGGGGGAUCGCAAGACCUCGCGCAGUUGGAGCGGCCGAUAUCAGAUUAGGUAGUUGGUGGGGUAAAGGCUCACCAAGCCAACGACCGGUAGCUGGUCUGAGAGGACGACCAGCCACACUGGGACUGAGACACGGCCCAGACUCCUACGGGAGGCAGCAGUGGGGAAUUUUGGACAAUGGGCGCAAGCCUGAUCCAGCCAUGCCGCGUGCGGGAAGAAGGCCUUCGGGUUGUAAACCGCUUUUGUCAGGGAAGAAAAGACUCCUGUUAAUACCGGGGGUUCAUGACGGUACCUGAAGAAUAAGCACCGGCUAACUACGUGCCAGCCGCCGCAGUAA